AUUGAACGCUGGCGGCAGGCCUAACACAUGCAAGUCGAGCGGAUGAAGGGAGCUUGCUCCUGGAUUCAGCGGCGGACGGGUGAGUAAUGCCUAGGAAUCUGCCUGUUUGUGUGGGAUAACGUCCGAACACGGGCGCUAAUACCGCAUACGUCCUGAGGGAGAAAGUGGGGGAUCUUCGGACCUCCCGCUAUCAGAUGAGCCUAGGUCGGAUUAGCUAGUUGGUGGGUAAAGGCCUACCAAGGCGACGAUCCGUAACUGGUCUGAGAGGAUGAUCAGUCACACUGGAACUGAGACACGGUCCAGACUCCUACGGGAGGCAGCAGUGGGGAAUAUUGGACAAUGGGCGAAAGCCUGAUCCAGCCAUGCCGCGUGUGUGAAGAAGGUCUUCGGAUUGUAAAGCACUUUAAGUUGGGAGGAAGGGCAGUAAGUUAAUACCUUGCUGUUUUGACGGUACCAACAGAAUAAGCACCGGCUAACUUCGUG
rnacentral:rRNA from 1 species